rnacentral:misc_RNA from 1 species
GAUGAAGAACGCAGCGAAAUGCGAUAAGUAAUGUGAAUUGCAGAUUUCAGUGAAUCAUCGAAUCUUUGAACGCACAUUGCGCCCGCCAGUAUUCUGGCGGGCAUGCCUGUCCGAGCGUCAUUUCAACCCUCGAACCCCUCCGGGGGUCCGGCGUUGGGGAUCGGGAACCCCUAAGACGGGAUCCCGGCCCCGAAAUACAGUGGCGGUCUCGCCGCAGCCUCUCAUGCGCAGUAGUUUGCACAACUCGCACCGGGAGCGCGGCGCGUCCACGUCCGUAAAACACCCAACUUCUGAAAUGUUGACCUCGGAUCAGGUAGGAAUACCCGCUGAACUUAAGCAUAUCAAUAAGCGGAGGA